rnacentral:rRNA from 1 species
GACGAACGCUGGCGGCGUGCCUAAUACAUGCAAGUCGAGCGAUGAUUAAAGAUAGCUUGCUAUUUUUAUGAAGAGCGGCGAACGGGUGAGUAACGCGUGGGAAAUCUGCCGAGUAGCGGGGGACAACGUUUGGAAACGAACGCUAAUACCGCAUAACAAUGAGAAUCGCAUGAUUCUUAUUUAAAAGAAGCAAUUGCUUCACUACUUGAUGAUCCCGCGUUGUAUUAGCUAGUUGGUAGUGUAAAGGACUACCAAGGCGAUGAUACAUAGCCGACCUGAGAGGGUGGUCGGCCACACUGGGACUGAGACACGGCCCAGACUCCUACGGGAGGCAGCAGUAGGGAAUCUUCGGCAAUGGGGGCAACCCUGACCGAGCAACGCCGCGUGAGUGAAGAAGGUUUUCGGAUCGUAAAACUCUGUUGUUAGAGAAGAACGUUAAGUAGAGUGGAAAAUUACUUAAGUGACGGUAUCUAACCGGAAAGGGACGGCUAACUACGUGCCAGCAGCCGCAGUAA